UUCAAAAAAAUUUGCGUAGCGCCGGGCCGUUACCAUUACAUUACGGCCGUUACGGGCCCGUUUCCGUUACUAGCGACUGCGACUGCGAUUGUGACUGCGGCCGCGAUUUAAAACCAUGUUUGAUCUGCUUCAUCUGCUAUAACUUCCAUUUAAUUAGCAGAGUGUACACUAAGAUUGCCUUUUGGAUACUGCGGUUUAGUUGUUUGGGUUUAUAAUAUAUAACCAAAGUUUCAUGUUUG
rnacentral:misc_RNA from 1 species